GUCAGAAAGAUCGAAUUAGGCCCAAAAAGUUUGUGCCGAGAUUUACAGAAGGGGAAGAAGAGGAAGGCGGAACGCUUAGGAGAGGCCAUUGUGGUUUCCCCUGCUGGAUUCCUUUCUGUGGUUGGAGGUCAAAGCCUUUCUUGCCUGCUGCUUCCAGGAACGCGUGGUGAGUGUCCCGGCGUGCUACACGGGAGGGUUUUAUUUUAUCUCUCUUGAAUGGAAUGGCAGUCAUCCAGCAGGCCUGGGUGCAUGUAUAAAUAGAGGGACACGUAAGCCCGCGUUUAAUAUCCAGAACAUAAACCAGCCUGCACUGCGUGUUACCCCGUCAUGUUUUGAUGAGAGGCUGCUGACAGCACCACAGACCAGGCCGUGGGGCCCAGCAAACCACCUAAUCCCACUGCUUUAUCCCAGGCAUCGAUGGGGCAGAUUUCCCUGCCAGGAACAGUUUCUUUCCAGCCACUAGCAGCUCUGAGUUUCUUUGGCUUGGCCUGCUUCUGUCGCCCAUUCCUCAUGACCCUUGCUCAGAGAGGCCAGGGUGAACAUGGGAAGGUGGAGAUGUAGAGCUAAACCCCAAAUCUUUCAUUUCAUUUUCCUUAAGGCAGAAGAUUUAGACUCGUUCACCUGUGACUCCCUGGGACCAUGGAGCUAAUGUCAAAAGAGCCCAUUGAAAGUUCGGCAUUUCCAGAUCUUCCGCCCGACUUCCUACCAUGUGCCGCAGGCCAGCAUCCCUUCCUGGCCUCUACAGGAUGAAACUCAGCGCUCAGGGGGGAGAGGAGGAUGGUCCCCACUCCACAUGCCUGCCAAGCUUGGUACUGAAUUUGAAGUCCUGGACCACUGAGUCAAAUAUGUCCAGGUUUGUACUUUCGUUCUCCCUAAUUCUCUCCAACGUGCUGUCCUGCAGCGAAU
rnacentral:lncRNA from 1 species